rnacentral:rRNA from 1 species
GGGGGGGGGGGGGGGGGGGCGGGGGGGGGGCGGGUCGGGCGGGGGGGGGGGGGUUGCGCCGGGAGUCGGCGGCGGACGGGGGAGGAGUGCCUAGGAAUCUGCCUGGUGGUGGGGGAUAACGUCCGGAAACGGGCGCUAAUACCGCAUCCGUCCUGUGGGAGCGCGUGGGGGAUCUUCGGCCCUCCCGCUCUCAGGUGAGCCUGGGUCGGAUUAGCUAGUUGGUGGGGUAAAGGCCUCCCAAGGCGACGAUCCGUAACUGGUCUGAGAGGAUGAUCAGUCACACUGGAACUGAGACACGGUCCAGACUCCUACGGGAGGCAGCAGUGGGGAAUAUUGGACAAUGGGCGAAAGCCUGAUCCAGCCAUGCCGCGUGUGUGAAGAAGGUCUUCGGAUUGUAAAGCACUUUAAGUUGGGAGGAAGGGCAGUAAGUUAAUACCUUGCUGUUUUGACGUUACCAACAGAAUAAGCACCGGCUAACUUCGUG